rnacentral:piRNA from 1 species
UGAGGACCACCAAGUAGGACCAGGCC